AUUGAACGCUGGCGGCAGGCCUAACACAUGCAAGUCGAGCGGAUGAAGGGAGCUUGCUCCUGGAUUCAGCGGCGGACGGGUGAGUAAUGCCUAGGAAUCUGCCUGGUAGUGGGGGAUAACGUCCGGAAACGGGCGCUAAUACCGCAUACGUCCUGAGGGAGAAAGUGGGGGAUCUUCGGACCUCACGCUAUCAGAUGAGCCUAGGUCGGAUUAGCUAGUUGGUGGGGUAAAGGCCUACCAAGGCGACGAUCCGUAACUGGUCUGAGAGGAUGAUCAGUCACACUGGAACUGGGACACGGUCCAGACUCCUACGGGAGGGAGCAGUGGGGAAUAUUGGACAAUGGGCGAAAGCCUGAUCCAGCCAUGCCGCGUGUGUGAAGAAGGUCUUCGGAUUGUAAAGCACUUUAAGUUGGGAGGAAGGGCAGUAAGUUAAUACCUUGCUGUUUUGACGUUACCAACAGAAUAAGCACCGGCUAACUUCGUG
rnacentral:rRNA from 1 species